CACAAUUCCUUAUAUCCCCCUAGCACUGUAAACAAUUAUCUUUUUAUCCUUAAAACUCAUGAAGGAUCUCAUUAAACACAUCCAUUUUUAUUGUUCGUUAAAAGGAUCAGGAAAUAUGCACAUGCAUUUUUAUUAAUAGACCAGAACAUAAUUUCCAAAUAAUCUUGACUAUUUCUCUCUCUACUGUCAACAGCCAGCAUGCUCGUUCCUGUGCAUGCUGGUGAAACAGACGUGGCCUGCCCUGCCUUUCUCCAAUCUCUCUCCCGCAGCCCAGCCCAGCCCAGCCUGGUUUAAUAGCAGGGGGAGUUGGCACCGUUCACAGCUGGUUAACACCCUACUGAGCAGGUCUGUUGAUUUUGCAUUAUGAUUACUGACCCUGCCAGUCCCUCUGCCCAGCCAAUAGCCUGAGGGGAAAGUUUUUGUGUGUGAAAAGAAGAGCUGACCAAGUAUAGCCAAACCGUGCCAGACAGACGCCACGAGCUGUCCUCUGCAGGGCCGCCUCUGCCCGUGUCUGCCUUAAGCAACCAACCAUGUGCCCUGGCACCAUGCCCUCCAGUGAAGAAGAAUGACACCCAUGGACUGCUUUGCGGGAUGCCCCCGCCUGCCCCGCCCUGAAGCUGCUGUCACCACCCUUGGACAUCAAAGAAAUCUCACUGCAGCUGCCACUUCCUAUCCCUCAACUCCCGUCCAGAGACACAUCACUAGUCUAGACAUGCCUUCUCCACCACCCCACGAAGUUUCUCAUAGCAAGCCACAUCUUACUCAUCUCUACAUUCCUAGGAGGGGGGACAAGUUCACAGUGUUGGGGAGAGGAAAGUGUCCUCUUAGCUGCCUCCCAUGACUUCAGGGGCCCAUUUGAUGAUAAUAGGACACUCUCUGGACAAAGCCUGCAGAUGGAUUUGAUCAAGCAAGAGAGCUGAGGAUGAAUGCGAAAAAAAAAAAAGUGGUCCUGAUGGCUCCUUGACCAUGAAAUAAAGGUCAUCAAUGAGGGAAGACAGGAGACUCCAGGAGCACAGAGACAGUGACAAAGCAAUGGAUAAAGGAAUUGUGGGUACCAGUGAGAUGGAAGGAUUAUGGGAUUUGGAGUCCUAGGGACAAAGAUGGAAAGACUGGAGGGUGCUUGGAGAGGAACUGUGAUUGGUGAUGUCAAGAUCAAGAGUACUGUCUUACAGGGGAACCAGUGACAGAGGUCAAGAAGAAGAUGAGACCACUGCAAUGGUAAUUUCAUGACAUGUACAGGUGUUGAUAAUUCCUUUGUGCUGGACAAGGUAAAACAAAGAGGGGUGAUGACUUUGAAAUGUUCUUAAUAAAAAAUUCCAGCAAUAACGUCUGUCUGCAACUCAUUGGACAAAAGCAUCCAGCUCCUCAGAGCAUCUGACUUCUUUUCUGAUAACAUGAAGAUAAA
rnacentral:lncRNA from 10 species